UGAAGAAGCACUGUGCAGGGGCAGAGGCAGCUCACAGUCCUGUCUUGAACCCGCUCAGACACAGUGUGAAGAUGCCUCAAAAGGAAUGCGGAAGGAAGGUGAGCACUUUGAAAACCUCAGACCUCCAAGGAGGACACACUUUGAAGAGGGGCUGCCUUCCUCGGGAGAACACUUUGAAAGCCAGUGACCUCCUCAGAUGAAGUUCAAAAGCAGAAAAAGAUCCUGGUAAUCAUGAUACUGGAUGAAAGAAGAAAAAAGUAGUUAAUGAAAAUAAAAUUGGUGCAGCUA